rnacentral:tRNA from 2 species
GCGGGCGUGGCGGAAUGGUAGACGCCGGGGACUUAAAAUCCCCUGGGCAUUGCCCGUGUGGGUUCAAGUCCCACCGCCCGCACCA